rnacentral:rRNA from 1 species
GACGAACGCUGGCGGCGUGCCUAAUACGUGCAAGUCGAGCGGACUUGACAGAGCUUGCUCUGUUCAAGUUAGCGGCGGACGGGUGAGUAACACGUGGGCAACCUGCCCUGCAGAUUGGGAUAACUCCGGGAAACCGGGGCUAAUACCGAAUAACAUUGGAAACCUCAUGGUUUCCUUUUAAAAGGCGGCUUCGGCUGUCACUGCAGGAUGGGCCCGCGGCGCAUUAGCUAGUUGGUGAGGUAACGGCUCACCAAGGCGACGAUGCGUAGCCGACCUGAGAGGGUGAUCGGCCACACUGGGACUGAGACACGGCCCAGACUCCUACGGGAGGCAGCAGUAGGGAAUCUUCCGCAAUGGACGAAAGUCUGACGGAGCAACGCCGCGUGAGUGAAGAAGGUUUUCGGAUCGUAAAACUCUGUUGUCAGGGAAGAACAAGUACGGGAGUAACUGCCCGUACCUUGACGGUACCUGGCCAGAAAGCCACGGCUAACUACGUGCCAGCCGCCGCAGUAAGAC